CAGUCGCCGCGGGAAAACGUAGGUGGCAAGCGUUGUCCGGAAUUAUUGGGCGUAAAGGGCUCGCAGGCGGUUUCUUAAGUCUGAUGUCAAAGCCCCCGGCUCAACCGGGGAGGGUCAUUGGAAACUGGGAAACUUGAGUGCAGAAGAGGAGAGUGGAAUUCCACGUGUAGCGGUGAAAUGCGUAGAGAUGUGGAGGAACACCAGUGGCGAAGGCGACUCUCUGGUCUGUAACUGACGCUGAGGAGCGAAAGCGUGGGGAGCGAACAGGAUUAGAUACCCCAGUAGUCCCUGUCUCUUAUAU
rnacentral:rRNA from 1 species